CAAGUACUUUUACAGCCAUUUUUAUUUGCCUUUUGUUGUUACAAUUUCGGUUCUUGUAAAACGUCAAGAUUUUGUACUAUAUUUAUACAUUUACAGUUUCUUAGUUUACAUAUAACAAAGUCAAGGGUUACCAUUACAUUUGAUUACUAUUACGAUUACGUUGCAAUUACAACAACGAUUACGACAUCAAUCAUGAUUACUAGUACGACUAUGACUACGAUCAACACGAUCACGAUCAAGACUACGACUACGACUACGAUCACGAUAACGACCACGAUUCUGAUUCAGAUUCUGACAACGAUUAAGAUUAAGAUUAAGAUUAAGAUUAAUAUUAAGAUAAAGAUUCUGAUUGCGACUACGACUACGACUACGACUACGACUACAACUACGAUCACGAUCAGGAUUAUUGUCACGAUUAUUGUCACGAUUAUUAUCACAAUUACAAACACAAUUACGAUUGUAUAAAUUGUGAUAUCAACAUAUAUAAAUUAUAAUACCAAAAAGUAAAUGUCAUAACGUAAAAUUGUAAGAACAACUGUAAAAAAUUAGACAUUCAUAUUUACUCCAAGUAUAUUAUAAUCGUGUCAAGAAUAUUAACUAGAGCUAUUGCUCCUGCAACCAACGAACUGUUAUGUGCUCCAAAUUGAACUAUAUCUAGAGGAUUACUUAUUUUAAAAGCAGUUAUCUUUAGCAAUGGAUUCCUGCUAUGUAUAAUCUUUUUUUCCAUGGAUAAUUUCAUUUUCUCUUCAAUAUAUACUAAAAUCUCCUGUUCCAGAGAAGUUACUCUUACGAUGUCAUAUUUCUCUAUAUCCAUAAAACUUCUCUUAAAGCCUUUGACAGUAUUAAAUAUUUCAAUUAAUUUUUCCUCGCUACCAUUACAAACAGUAUUGUAAACGUACUGUUUGAAUAACAAAUGACGAUUUUGUAAUUCAAUAACAUCCUUUGGAAGUAUUGGUCCUAGGUAACUCUUGAUAUUUGGAUCUAGAAAUUUUUUCUUCUUAUUCGCUUGAGAUUCGGUUUCGUUAAGUUUACAAUUAUCUACUUUUAAACUUAACUCGUUAAGAACAUCUUUGUCUAUUCCAGACAAAUCGUCACAGUCUUUAAAAGGAUUAGAAGAUCCGCAUUCAUCUUUGUUUGCAACUGACGGAUCAUUAGUAUUCGUGAGACGUUCUAGUAUCUUUUUUGCUACACUUUGUUUGACUUGCUUUUUUCUAGUUCCUGUUGCUUCUUCAGUUAUUGACCCUACUGUACAGGACAUAGUAAACACUUUUUCGUGUGCUGGGCCAGUUAUAUUAGUAGUUUGAUACUCUGCCUGCAUUAAUUUAUUUUCUAAACAGUAUUGCUAAAAAACCAGAAAACUUUCUUACGAUCAUGUUAUAGACAAAAAGUAUUUACAAAAAAUAUAUAGUAAACUCUAAAGAGAAUGAUGAUGAAAGUAUAUAUAUUCUAUUAGAUAUGUAUUUUUAUAUAUAUAUAUAUAUAUAUGUAUAUAUAUUCACAGAAUUAAAUAGAGAAAAAAUAAUAAUUUAAAUGAGUCAUACUUGUAAAGAUCCAACAUAAUUUCUAAGGUCUUCAUCCAUUAAUGUUGAAUCUAGCAAAGCUGGUACUGAUGAAGUAUCAGGAUAAAUGUCGUUUGAAGAUGAUAGUGGUUUUGUCUUAGAAAUGUCAUUUGGGUCUUCCAACAAUAUUAACAUAUUCUGAGCUGCUUUCUGCUUCGCAUCUUUUUUAUUCAGAGCUUGUCCAAUUGCUGAGAACUCUUUAUAUUGUACUUUAAAAGUAAAUAUAUUUAUUUGCUUACCAGUUUGUGAACGAAGCAAUGUGUAAACUGGUAAGAAGCCCUCUUUCAUUCCUAACUCUUGUAAAAUCAUUAUUGCUGUUUUACCCAUUUUACUGAAUAAAAAUAAUUGAAUGAGAUGAUAUCGAAAUUGAGAAAUGUAACUUUUUCUUGAACGUUUUAACGUUUUUAAGAACUAAUGAGAACUUAAAAUUUUUUUUCCUAUACGAUGCAGUACACGCCCUUAACAAGAGAAGAUGACUGACAAGUAUUGUACGUUGGGCGUUGUGCUGAUCACUUCUAACAAAGGGCCAUAGGUAUGGUCUACCUGGGAAAAAAGUUACCAGCAGAUCUCUCUACUGCGCAUUGCUCAAUCGAUUUUUCAUGUACCUAUAUACAUAUGAAGUGAAAUAUUAUUAUUAUUAUUUUAUAUUACAUGAAAACAUAAUAUUAAUAAAAAAUUAAGUGCAUAUGUAUAUAUAUAUGUGUGCGUGUGUGUAAGCAUAUAUAUAUACAUAUAUAUAUAUAUAUAUAUAUAUACAUACGCAUAUAUAAUAUAUAUACAUAUAUAAACAUAUAUACAUGUAUAUAUAUUAUAUACCGCAUUACAUAGGACAAGAUUCAACAUCAUGGGACAAAAGAACAAGACUUCUCGAUGUUACUCGCUAAAUAUUUUCCAUUUCAUUUUUUUCCUCACUUAUUGUCGUCCACUGAUUGUUGGUUAUUUUCGUUUGUCUUUAAAUACUAGCGUAUAUAUGAGUAAAAUGUGCUGACGUAAUAAGUCCCUUUAAAAGGCAUACAUGGAAGGAGAAAUUCAGCAAGAUCGUGGAAAUACAAUUACUAUUGAACUUAGAAAAUACGUGGAAUUAUGGGUAUAUUUAGGUCAAUUUUCUUGAAAUAUUAUAUACACGAAAGCUUUCUUUAUUCGAAUUGAUAAUAUUUCUGCUUGUAAUACGUUAUAUAAUUACAUGCUAAAUUAUUUUUAAAAUUCGAUCGGUUGAACAGAGGAGAGUAUACAAAUAUGUACGCAGUCAAAAAUUUUCAUUGUACGGUAUAGAUUAUUUUUAUUUAUAUCAAUUAUUGUAUAAACACAACCAUAAGAAGUACAAUAUCAUGUGGAAUAUUACGGGUAGACAACAAUAAUAGAAUAUAUAUAUUUUCAUCACAACUUAGUUAAUUUUGUAAUAUUUUAUAUUGUAUGUUAUCAAAAAUAAAAAAAAAAUUAUACAAAGA